UUACCGUAGGUGAACCUGCGGAAGGAUCAUUACAACAAGGUUCCCUGGCCCUCGAAGCUUCGGCGGAGGGGUGCUACAGCCUGACUUUAUACCCACCCUUUGCCUAUGUGUACCCCUAUUGCUUCCCUCGGCGGGUUCGCCCGCCGACAGGAACCAACUAAACCCUUUGCAUUAUACAUUUAACACUUCCGAUACAAAACUAAAUUAUUACAACUUUUAACAAUGGAUCUCUUGGUUCUG
rnacentral:misc_RNA from 1 species